AUGAACGCUGGCGGCGUGCCUAAUACAUGCAAGUCGAACGCUUCACUUCGGUGAAGAGUGGCGAACGGGUGAGUAAUACAUAAGUAACCUGGCAUCUACAGGGGGAUAACUGAUGGAAACGUCAGCUAAGACCGCAUAGGUGUAGAGAUCGCAUGAACUCUAUAUGAAAAGUGCUACGGGACUGGUAGAUGAUGGACUUAUGGCGCAUUAGCUGGUUGGUAGGGUAACGGCCUACCAAGGCGACGAUGCGUAGCCGACCUGAGAGGGUGACCGGCCACACUGGGACUGAGACACGGCCCAGACUCCUACGGGAGGCAGCAGUAGGGAAUUUUCGGCAAUGGGGGAAACCCUGACCGAGCAACGCCGCGUGAAGGAAGAAGUAAUUCGUUAUGUAAACUUCUGUCAUAGAGGAAGAACGGUGGAUAUAGGGAAUGAUAUCCAAGUGACGGUACUCUAUAAGAAAGCCACGGCUAACUACGUGCCAGCAGCCGCGGUAAUACGUAGGUGGCGAGCGUUAUCCGGAAUUAUUGGGCGUAAAGAGGGAGCAGGCGGCACUAAGGGUCUGUGGUGAAAGAUCGAAGCUUAACUUCGGUAAGCCAUGGAAACCGUAGAGCUAGAGUGUGUGAGAGGAUCGUGGAAUUCCAUGUGUAGCGGUGAAAUGCGUAGAUAUAUGGAGGAACACCAGUGGCGAAGGCGACGAUCUGGCGCAUAACUGACGCUCAGUCCCGAAAGCGUGGGGAGCAAAUAGGAAUAGAUACCCUAGUAGUCCACGCCGUAAACGAUGAGUACUAAGUGUUGGGAGUCAAAUCUCAGUGCUGCAGUUAACGCAAUAAGUACUCCGCCUGAGUAGUACGUUCGCAAGAAUGAAACUCAAAGGAAUUGACGGGGGCCCGCACAAGCGGUGGAGCAUGUGGUUUAAUUCGAAGCAACGCGAAGAACCUUACCAGGUCUUGACAUCGAUCUAAAGGCUCCAGAGAUGGAGAGAUAGCUAUAGAGAAGACAGGUGGUGCAUGGUUGUCGUCAGCUCGUGUCGUGAGAUGUUGGGUUAAGUCCCGCAACGAGCGCAACCCCUAUCCUCAGUAGCCAGCAUUUAAGGUGGGCACUCUGGGGAGACUGCCAGGGAUAACCUGGAGGAAGGCGGGGAUGACGUCAAAUCAUCAUGCCCCUUAUGACCUGGGCUACACACGUGCUACAAUGGACAGAGCAGAGGGAAGCGAAGCCGCGAGGUGGAGCGAAACCCAUAAAACUGUUCUCAGUUCGGACUGCAGUCUGCAACUCGACUGCACGAAGAUGGAAUCGCUAGUAAUCGCGAAUCAGCAUGUCGCGGUGAAUACGUUCUCGGGCCUUGUACACACCGCCCGUCACACCAUGAGAGUCGGUAACACCCGAAGCCGGUGGCCUAACCGCAAGGAAGGAGCUGUCUAAGGUGGGACUGAUGAUUGGGGUG
rnacentral:rRNA from 1 species